ensembl:lncRNA FRG1-DT FRG1 divergent transcript
AUACUGCAUAGUGGAUGGAUUAGUCUGUGGUUCCUGGGAUCUUCUGUGUAUUCUGUUGAAGCUCAAUAAUCACAUUACUGCGGACCUCCAAAAUUUUACAAAGGACUGCAUAGCUUUGGAUUCACCUUGAAAACAUCCCCUCUGAACAUCAGAAGUCCACUUGGUCCCCGAACAGUGUAUUAACUUCUAACAUUUCUGACUUCCAGUCAUGGAGAUUUCAAAACCAAUUGCAUAUAGCAAUGAAGCUUUUCACUUUUAAUGGAACAUUUAGGAGAAGGGCGGCUUUUCCUAUUUUCU